UCUUCAAAAACACUGGUAGCCGCACAAACCUCAUGGCCUUCCCUUUCAUCUCUACUCCCCCUCUCUCUCUCUCUCACGAAAUCAUAAAACAAACACAGUUGAUUCACCUUCCUCUCAAUCAAACCCAAACCAUAAUAAGACACCAUCAUCUCUCGGCCCCCUCCUCUCGACCUCCGUUUCCGACGACCAGCGCGGCGGCGUAGGGAGAUGACCGGCAACACCCUUUCGUAUCUCCCACACCCUCACCGGAAUCCUAUCAUACGACUCGGAGCUUCGCCGGAGAAAAUAGACGUCGCCGGAGUCACAUAACCACGUCGGAGAUCACGUCACCAGAAACCCGCAAGCUUUUACGUUCCGGAUAUUCAUUUCCUGUUCGUUACUUUGGAAUUCUCCAUCCUUACUCGUGCGAUAAUUCAAGGAAUUCCCAUACGCAACCAAGGAAUAUCAAUGACGCAUGGAAUCUAGUAGGAUUGCCUAGAAACGCAUUUGAACGUUAAAUACUUGUUGUAAUGUAAUUUAUUUCAUACAUGUUGUAAUUAGUUCCAAAACAAUUAUAUUAAACUGUUAUGAAAUGAAAUUAUAUUUCUUUUA